rnacentral:siRNA from 1 species
GUAGUGUAUAUCUGUACAGUGGU